GCGUAUUAUGCGCUCGAUUUUUUUACUUGAGGACACACACUUUGGACAGUCAUAGUCGAUACCGACUUUCACUUUAAACUGUCGCCUGUCUUUUGACUUAUCGGCGACACGUU
rnacentral:ncRNA from 1 species